CCAGGUCAAAAGUUACAAAAGUUAUCACUGGACUGAUUAGUAAAAGCUUGAUGUUAAGGGACUCAGCAUGUAUCACACUGUAGCAUGUUCCAUCCAAUACGCUAGCCCUUUAAGAAAUGUGAAUGUGUGACGUUCUGGAAGUGUCGCGAGAUUCGCCUGUAAACAGCGCGUUUUCAUAACGUGUUUUGAAUGCUGCUCAUGCGGUGGAGCGUCGAAGCCAUAAAACUCCGUGUUAUUAUCAAUAUAAUGAGAGAGAUGCACAUAUAGUGACUGGAAAGCCUUCUUUAAUAUUUUGCUCAUGCGGAUGGCUGUGUAUUGUGCUGAGUGACCGUGAUUUCUGUCGAGACACGUACCCAUGUGACGAAAUCAGAUCGACAAUAGAUCUCGAAGCAGGGGAGAAGAGAGCUCUGUAGGCCUUCUGUUUCCUCAGGCCGAGUGUGAAGCAACAGAGUGAGUGUUAUUAAUUAAUCCAUUCUAAAAAUUGUUUAAUACUCAUGCAUAUGUGUGUUUUUUUGUAACCAGUAGAUUGUUACAGUUGUUCUGGUGUCGUGUUUUCCAAAUGUUAAGAACCAGUGUUGUAUUGUGUCUAUUACUGUCCACAGAGGGGAAAUUGAGUUCAUCAUUGGCUGUGAAAGCGUGUACAAUGCUAUGGUGAUGCUAUGAUGAUGAACAGUAAGUUUGAAUUAGUUGACGUUUAAAGUGUACAAGUGUUAAUUUACUGUGAUUUGAGAUUGAGUGAAUAUUAGCCAGUGUAAUGUAUUAAUGUUACUGGGAAAUGUGGCUUCUAAUUUCAUUUUUAUGCAUGUUAUGUUACAUAAGCAGCCUUAUUUGAUCUUCUAUGCAUGCUGACAAAUCUUGUAACACUCUGUGUAUUUGUUUUUCAGUAUAAGAGUCCACUAUCGUUGUCUAUGUUGGUUAUAUUCAUGUAAUUGACCUGUUAAUGUGGUGACUGAGAACAAAGAGACAAGAGAGUUUGAUGUAAAGAAAAAAUAACAUCUUUAUUGAUUUCAACCACUGUAACAAACCUUACUGUGUAACACCCUUAAGAUUUGCAUAAUUAACGCUGCACUGUUAAGUGCAGUCUGGAAUAAACGAUCCCCUUAAAAAAAUUAUUAA